GCCAAAGACUAUAAAACAUGAAGACUCUUGAAACUAGACUGGAAACAAGAAAGGAGUUGACAAGAGUGAAGAAGGCUUCAUUCUUGUAUCUAUAUAUACUAUCUAACUAGGGGCUACGUGGCGAUAUUCUAUAAGACCUCCAAUAUGUGUUGACUUUGUAGGAAACAUGCCUUGACUUAUAAGGCAAGUUUUUCUAUGUGUGGGCCACAUUGUUAACUUGAUCUUCAAGCUAACAACAUGUGUAGCACAUGGCCACCUUGUUGACGACGUUUCUAAUCCAAAAAAUCAAUUAAAGACACCUAUAAAGUCAAAGCAGCCUCUAUGAAGCUUCUAGGAAGCUUUCAUAUCAAAUACUAUAGAAUUAAUUUACUUUUAUCUACUUUUACUUACUUCUACUUCUUUAUAUAUGUAAUAACUAGCUUACAUGAGUAUGUCCAUGUGUCACGGACAUAGAAAUAUAGACUUGAGAUCUAACAAGAAGUUCAAGAAGAACUGGCAAGAACUAGAUUAAUCAGAUGAAUACAAGAACAACACCAGAGAGGUGAGCUAGAGCUCCAAGAG
rnacentral:lncRNA from 1 species